GUUUUCAUGACACAUGCCACAAAGGCAAUAUACAAGUUGCUUUUGUCAGAUUAUGUUAAAGUUAGCAAAGUCUCUGUUGAAGAUAUGUUGUUUGAUGAACAUGACAUUCUUCACUCCAUGGAAAAAAUUGAGGUUAUCGACUUCCAUCAGACUAUGGAAGUAAAUGGUAUUCGCUUUUGGUGUUAUACUGCUGGCCAUGUCCUUGGUGCUGCCAUGUUUAUGGUUGAUAUUGCUGGUGUUCGAGUUCUCUAUACAGGAGACUAUUCCCGUGAAGAAGACAGGCAUCUCCGUGCAGCUGAGAUCCCACAAUUUUCUCCAGAUGUUUGCAUUAUAGAAUCAACUUAUGGUGUUCAACUCCAUAUGCCCCGUCAGAUAAGAGAGAAGCUUUUCACUGAUGUCAUACAUUCAACACUGAUGCAAGGGGGUCGGGUGCUGAUUCCUGCUUAUGCCUUGGGACGUGCACAGGAACUUCUCCUUAUCCUGGAGGAAUAUUGGUCUAACCAUCCUGAACUAGCUAACUUCCCCAUAUAUUAUGCUUCUCCACUUGCAAGAAGGUGCAUGGCUGUCUAUCAGACUUACAUCAAUGCCAUGAAUGAAAGGAUCCGCA
rnacentral:misc_RNA from 1 species